AAAUGUAUAAUGAUAUGCUCUGCCUAUUCAUGCCUUCCUUCCCCCUAGACCCUGGCAAUUAUUGACUUUUUAAAAAUGAUUUUGUUUUCUAAGAAGAAAGUCAUUAUAGUAUAGUAGUAUGCUGAUGAAAAUGUGGGAGAGAGAGAGAGAAAGAGAGAGAGAAUUGUAGGCACAACGUUUUCGAGUAAGAGAAAGACCAGAGGAUUCGAUGUUUUGACCAAAAAAACCAGCCUGAGAUAUCAGCAUAGAUAGUGCUUCCAUUACAAGUAGGAAAUAGUGAAUAAUGGGGCAGAGGUAGGUCUGCUGAUAAAUAUAGUGGUGAGAGGUAAGAUGAGUCUUCUGAUUUCUUAAUUUUCUCAGUGAAAUGAAAGAAACAAGGUUGUCACUUGAGAAAAAGGGGAAGUCAAGGAAUGUUAGAGGAGACAGCUCAGUCAACAGGUUUUAUUGAGCAACUACUAUGUGCCAGUCACCAUUUGGGGGCUCAGGGAAAGCAAUAGUGAACAAAAUCAUGUCUGUGCCUUCUUAGAACUUACAUUGUAGUAGAUUCAAGAAGAUGUGAGAGGUGAGAAUGGGUAUUAGCCAGUUUUGCUGCAAUAAUAAAUGACCCAAAUCUUCAACGGCUUACAACAAAAACAGUUUAAAUCUCACCCAUGCCAAAUGUCAGCUGAGGGUCAUGCACACCUCUGCCUCACUGUCUGCUCUACUCCAGACAGCGAGGAGACUAGAACUCUUCUCAGUCUUGUUCCUCUUCAUUUGCAGAUGUCAAUUAGAAAAUCAGCCCCUGUUUGGCAGGUGUCAACCUUGUGACACAAGGAAUCAAGCAAGAGAGUUUACAGAAACAUAGAGUAGUUUCUAGAGCUUUCUGAGUGCAGCAUGCAUUCCAUUCCAUCAGCCAAAGCAAGUCACAUGGCCCAGCAUGACACCAGUGGGAUGGGAAGGUAAAGUCUUCCCACAAGAGACAACACAACUCAUGAGACAGAGGGCAGGUAGAAAUAGAGAACCCUCCACCUGGAUGGGGAGUGCUUUUCUAUUUUCACUCUGUCUAGGCAUAGCGGUAGCCAUUUGGACCACUUGUAAAUCUAUACAUUCAGCCUCAGUGUUCCCCCUUAGCUACAGAGCGAUACAUCAGGCUGCCUUUGAGAGACUUGCCCAGGUCCUAUAAAUCUCUCAAACUCAACACUUCGCAAGCUGAACUCUAUCUUUCCCUUCAGUCAUUUCCCUGGAUUCUCCAUCUCCUUCAGAGAUGUCAGAUCCUCAGCGUCUCUCUCCUUGACUAUAAUCCUGAGCUUCAGACUUACCUUCCAUCUUGUAUGCAACCAUCUAAAAAUAGGAAUCUCAUUAUAGGAUCAUCUCUAUUACUUGGAAAUAAAUCCCCAAAUCCUUAGCCCAGCCUCCAAAGACAUUUGUCAUGUAGCCUCAUUUCUUGCCACACUCUUCUCAGCAAGCAGCUACACCAACUACCUAGUCCCCAAAGUUCUUUGGGUGUGUCACACCACGCCAUAUCUUCAUGACUCUUCUCAUGUUCUGGAAGAACUCUGCCUGAGAAGGCCCUCCACCUCUUGUCUUUCAAAGUCAGCUUGUCUUUCUCCUUCUUUGAAGUUUUUAUGACUUUCACUCCCAAUAGAGUACACCAUUCUCUUCCGUACGUGUUGUGAACUUGUUGUUAUCAUCUAUAAAACAUUUUGUGCUUGCUUGUUUAUAUGUCUAUCUCCUUGUUUUGGGGGGUUGUUGGGUGAUCCUGCCCUUCUCUGGCCUCAUGUUUUCACUUGGAUGAUCUUCUGCUGGACUGUACAGUCAGCCUCUCUUCCCACUCCUGACUUACUCCUCUCCAUGGAGGAGGACUGACCUACCUGAUUGGUGGGUGACAUCCACUGGCCUCUGUUUCUCAAUUGAGUGGAGCUAAUCUACUGCAAGUUCAAAAGCACUAGAGAUUCACUCUUGUUCUAUUACCAUUCCCUGAGCCAACAGUCUUGGGAAGUGGGUCUACUCUGCAGCCAUCUUGAGAAGCCAGGAAUCUUUUUUUUUUUUUUACCCCCAGCUUUAUUGAGAUAUAAUUGACAUACACAUUGUGUAAGUUUAAGGCAUACAACGUGUUAAUUUGGUGCACUUAAAUAUUGUAAAAAUGAUUACCACUGUGCGGUUAGCUAAUACCUUCAUCGUGUCACAUAAUUACCUUUUUUUUUCCCCUGUGGUGAGAACACUUAAGAUCUCUCACGUAGCAACUUUUGAGUAUGUAAUACAGUAUUAUUAACUAUAAUCACCAUGCUGUUCAUUGGAUCCGCAAAACUUAUUCAUCUUAUGACUAGAAGUGUGUGCCCUUUGGCCAAAAAACUCCCCACUUCCCCUUCCCCCAAGCCUCUGGUUACCACCGCUCUGCUGUUUCUAGUUCAGGUUUCUGAGAUUUCACAUAUAAGUGAGAUCACUCAGUAUAUUUUUCUUUCUCUGGCUGACUUACUUCCCUUGGCACAAUGUCCUCAAAGUCCAUCCAUGUCACAAUGUCAGGAUGUGAAGCUAGCAAUCUUGGGAAGUCUGAUCUCUGGACACAAACUUCUCCUUGGAUGGACUCUUGGGAGUCCAAGGACUGCCAACUCAUGUGUAAAUUUGGAUGAUAAGUCUAGAGGCAUUUUCUCCAGUCCUUAUGUCAGUAACAAUGUUGACAUUCUGAUACCGGAGUGAAUUCCUGGGUCGUUGGUUGGUGUAUGUUGACUGUAUGAAACUGCCAAACAAUUGAAUACUGCCAGGAAGUAUGAGUAAAGCCCCUAGGAACAUCUUUGUAUACAGCUUUUUGUGGAUACACAUACAAUUAUCUUGGACCUAGACGGUGCCUGAGUGAACCAACGGUUUUUCAUUUGAAUGAAAUGCUCAACUGAGAAGAUGAGCUAUGAUGCUGUCUAAAGGAUAAUAUUCAGGUCCAGCAAACAAAAUGUCUCUUCUUAGAGCAGGGAAGACCAACCAUCACAGAAGAGAGAAGUCAGUGGAUGGACAUGGAUUAAAUUCUGUUUUUCAACUUUUUUUGGUAAUAGAAACUAUGUUUUUGCUUCAGGAAGAAGUCUUAGAUAUGAAGGAAAUGAAAGGAAGGGAGGAGGGAUACCCAUGAAAAAAACAAGAAAUUCACCAGUACUUCUUGUUCUGUUUCUCUGAAGGUCACAAUUACAGAUAUUUUGAUAAAGA